rnacentral:rRNA from 1 species
GACGAACCGUGCGAACGUUGUUCGGAUUCACUGGGCUUAAAGGGCGCGUAGGCGGCUUGCCAAGUCAGGGGUGAAAUCUUUCGGCUCAACCGGAAAAGUGCUUCUGAUACUGGCAGGCUGGAGGGAGGUAGGGGCAGAUGGAACUUCCGGUGGAGCGGUGAAAUGCGUAGAUAUCGGAAGGAACGCCGGUGGCGAAAGCGAUCUGCUAGACCUCUUCUGACGCUGAUGCGCGAAAGCCAGGGGAGCAAACGGG